rnacentral:rRNA from 1 species
GGAUGAACGCUGCGGCGUGCUUAACUACAUAGCAAGUCGAAACGAAGACACCUUGUCAGCAGACUGGAGAGCUUGCUCAAGGGAAGCGAGCAUUUGACUGAGUGGCGGACGGGUGAGUAACGCGUGGAUAACCUGCCUCAUACAGGGGAGUAACAGUUGGAAACGGCUGUUAAUACCGCAUAAGCGCACGAAACCGCAUGGUUUUGUGUGAAAAACUCCGGUGGUAUGAGAUGGGUCCGCGUCUGAUUAGCUAGUUGGCAGGGUAACGGCCUACCAAGGCGACGAUCAGUAGCCGGCCUGAGAGGGUGUACGGCCACAUUGGGACUGAGACACGGCCCAAACUCCUACGGGAGGCAGCAGUGGGGAAUAUUGCACAAUGGGGGAAACCCUGAUGCAGCGACGCCGCGUGGGUGAAGAAGUAUUUCGGUAUGUAAAGCCCUAUCAGCAGGGAAGAAAAUGGCGGUACCUGACUAAGAAGCCCCGGCUAACUACGUG